AGAGUUUGAUCCUGGCUCAGGAUGAACGCUUGCGGCGUGCUUAACACAUGCAAGUCGAACGGGGAUGCCAUUUUUGAAGCGAUUAGCUUGCUAAGAGUGGAAAUGUUGGCAUCUUAGUGGCGGACGGGUGAGUAACGCGUGGGGAACCUGCCCUGUACAGGGGGAUAACACUUAGAAAUAGGUGCUAAUACCGCAUAAGCGCACAGUAUCGCAUGAUACAGUGUGAAAAACUCCGGUGGUACAGGAUGGACCCGCGUCUGAUUAGCUGGUUGGCGGGGUAACGGCCCACCAAGGCGACGAUCAGUAGCCGGCCUGAGAGGGUGAACGGCCACAUUGGGACUGAGACACGGCCCAAACUCCUACGGGAGGCAGCAGUGGGGAAUAUUGGACAAUGGGGGGAACCCUGAUCCAGCGACGCCGCGUGAGUGAAGAAGUAUUUCGGUAUGUAAAGCUCUAUCAGCAGGGAAGAAAAUGACGGUACCUGACUAAGAAGCCCCGGCUAACUACGUGCCAGCAGCCGCGGUAAUACGUAGGGGGCAAGCGUUAUCCGGAUUUACUGGGUGUAAAGGGAGCGUAGACGGUGCAGCAAGUCUGAUGUGAAAGGUCGGGGCCCAACCCCGGGACUGCAUUGGAAACUGUUGAACUGGAGUACAGGAGAGGUAAGCGGAAUUCCUAGUGUAGCGGUGAAAUGCGUAGAUAUUAGGAGGAACACCAGUGGCGAAGGCGGCUUACUGGACUGUAACUGACGUUGAGGCUCGAAAGCGUGGGGAGCAAACAGGAAUAGAUACCCUGGUAGUCCACGCCGUAAACGAUGAUCACUAGGUGUCGGUGGGCAUGGGCCCAUCGGUGCCGCAGCAAACGCAAUAAGUGAUCCACCUGGGGAGUAUGUUCGCAAGAAUGAAACUCAAAGGAAUUGACGGGGGCCCGCACAAGCGGUGGAGUAUGUGGUUUAAUUCGAAGCAACGCGAAGAACCUUACCAGGGCUUGACAUCCUACUAACGAAACAGAGAUGUAUCAGGUGCCCUUCGGGGAAAGUAGAGACAGGUGGUGCAUGGUUGUCGUCAGCUCGUGUCGUGAGAUGUUGGGUUAAGUCCCGCAACGAGCGCAACCCUUAUUGUUAGUUGCUACGCAAGAGCACUCUAGCGAGACUGCCGUUGACAAAACGGAGGAAGGUGGGGAGGAGGUCAAAUCAUCAUGCCCCUUACGUCCUGGGCCACACACGUACUACAAUGGCGGCCAACGAAGAGAGGCAAGACCGCGAGGUGGAGCAAAUCUCAAAAAGCCGUCCCAGUUCGGAUCGCAGGCUGCAACCCGCCUGCGUGAAGUUGGAAUCGCUAGUAAUCGCGGAUCAGCAUGCCGCGGUGAAUACGUUCCCGGGCCUUGUACUCACCGCCCGUCA
rnacentral:rRNA from 1 species